AUUGAACGCUGGCGGCAGGCCUAACACAUGCAAGUCGAGCGAGCGGCGGACGGGUGAGUAAUGUCUGGGAAACUGCCUGAUGGAGGGGGAUAACUACUGGAAACGGUAGCGAAUACCGCAUACCAUCAGAUGUGCCCAGAUGGGAUUAGCUAGUAGGUGGGGUAAGGGCGCACCUAGGCGACGAUCCCUAGCGGGUCUGAGAGGAUGACCGGCCACAUUGGGACUGAGACACGGCCCAGACUCCUACGGGAGGCAGCAGUGGGGAAUGUGGGACAAUGGGCGCAAGCCUGAUCCAGCCAUGCCGCGUGUGUGAAGAAGGCCUUCGGGUUGUAAAGCACUUUUGUCAGGGAAGCGGUACCUGAAGAAUAAGCACCGGCUAACUCCGUGCCAGCAGCCGCGGUAAUUC
rnacentral:rRNA from 1 species